rnacentral:rRNA from 1 species
CGAAAGCCUGACGGAGCAAGACCGCGUGGGGGAAGAAGGCUCUUGGGUUGUAAACCCCUUUUCUCUGGGAAGAAAGUUGUGAAAGCAACCUGACGGUACCAGAGGAAUCAGCAUCGGCUAACUCCGUGCCACCAGCCGCGGUAAGACGGAGGAUGCAAGCGUUAUCCGGAAUGAUUGGGCGUAAAGCGUCCGCAGGUGGCAGUUCAAGUCUGCUGUCAAAGACCGGGGCUUAAGUUCGGAAAGGCAGUGGAAACUGAACAGCUAGAGUAUGGUAGGGGCAGAGGGAAUUCCUGGUGUAGCGGUGAAAUGCGUAGAGAUCAGGAAGAACAUCGGUGGCGAAGGCGCUCUGCUGGACCAUAACUGACACUCAGGGACGAAAGCUAGGGGAGCG